rnacentral:rRNA from 1 species
AACGCGAAGAACCUUACCUGGGUUUGACAUCCCUUGACUGCCCUAGAGAUAGGGCUUCCUCUUCGGAGGCAAGGAGACAGGUGCUGCAUGGCUGUCGUCAGCUCGUAUCGUGAGAUGUCGGGUUAAGUCCCUUAACGAGCGCAACCCUUAUCCCUAGUUGCCACCAUUCAGUUGGGCACUCUAUGGAGACCGCCGGUGUUAAACCGGAGGAAGGCGGGGAUGACGUCAAGUCCUCAUGGCCUUUAUAUCCAGGGCUACACACGUGCUACAAUGGCCGAUACAGAGGGUAGCCAACCCGCGAGGGGGAGCUAAUCUCAGAAAGUCGGUCUCAGUUCGGAUUGAAGUCUGCAACUCGACUUCAUGAAGCUGGAAUCGCUAGUAAUCGCGGAUCAGCACGCCGCGGUGAAUACGUUCCCGGGCCUUGUACACACCGGAGUA